rnacentral:rRNA from 1 species
GGGGCGCCCGGAGUGCAGGUCUUUGGGCCACCUCCCAUCCGUGUCUAUUAUACCCUGUUGCUUCGGCGGGCCCGCCGCUUGUCGGCCGCCGGGGGGGCGCCUUUGCCCCCCGGGCCCGUGCCCGCCGGAGACCCCAACACGAACACUGUCUGAAAGCGUGCAGUCUGAGUUGAUUGAAUGCAAUCAGUUAAAACUUUCAACAAUGGAUCUCUUGGUUCCGGCAUCGAUGAAGAACGCAGCGAAAUGCAUAACUAAUGUGAUUGCAGAAUUCAGUGAAUCAUCGAGUCUUUGAACGCACUUGCGCCCCCUGGUAUUCCGGGGGGCAUGCCUGUCCGAGCGUCAUUGCUGCCCUCAAGCCCGGCUUGUGUGUUGGGUCGCCGUCCCGCGCUCUCCCGCGGACGGGCCCGAAAGGCAGCGGCGGCACCGCGUCCGAUCCUCGAGCGUAUGGGGCUUUGUCACAUGCUCUGUAGGAUUGGCCGGCGCCUGCCGACGUUUCCAACCAUUUCCAGGUUGACCUCGGAUCAGGUAGGGAUACCCGCUGAACUUAAGCAUAUCAAUAAGCCGGAGGAAUUUCAUCCUUGUAUUUCAUUUAAACAAUAUC